CCUACGGGAGGCAGCAGUGAGGAAUAUUGGUCAAUGGACGAGAGUCUGAACCAGCCAAGUAGCGUGAAGGAUGACUGCCCUAUGGGUUGUAAACUUCUUUUAUAUGGGAAUAAAACGUUCCACGUGUGGGAUUUUGUAUGUACCAUAUGAAUAAGGAUCGGCUAACUCCGUGCCAGCAGCCGCGGUAAUACGGAGGAUCCGAGCGUUAUCCGGAUUUAUUGGGUUUAAAGGGAGCGUCGGUGGAUUGUUAAGUCAGUUGUGAAAGUUUGCGGCUCAACCGUAAAAUUGCAGUUGAAACUGGCAGUCUUGAGUACAGGAGAGGUGAGCGGAAUUCGUGGUGUAGCGGUGAAAUGCUUAGAUAUCACGAAGAACUCCGAUUGCGAAGGCAGUUCACUGGACUGCAACUGACACUGAGGCUCGAAAGUGUGGGUAUCAAACAGGAUUAGAUACCCGGGUAGUC
rnacentral:rRNA from 1 species